rnacentral:rRNA from 1 species
UAGUUUAUCCCCAUGGGACCACCACCACGCCCCUGUAUCAAACUAGGACCUAGACAGUUAGGGACCAGCCUGACUGUCCACGAAUACAGCCCCGCCUGGAGGAUUAGACUACCCCCCCCCCACAAGUGGGCCCUAAAGCAGCCAUCAACAACCGCGUCAAAGCGAUAACCAAAAAAAUUACCACCAACUAAACCAACCCCCAGCCACCAAUUGAGCCACUCUAUGACACCUUAGAGGAGACACUGUUAAAACUAGUAAUACGAGCCCCCUCUCUGCUGCACACCCGUAUACCGGCACGGAAACACCACCGAUAUUUACCAACCCACGCCCAAACCCCCGCCCACUGUUACCCCGACACAGGAGUGCACAACAAGAGACGGCAAACUGCCACAAAAGGAACUCGGCUAACCGUGCCCCACCUGUUUACCAAAAACAUGGCCUUUAGCCCUACAAGUAUUAAAGGUCCCGCCUGCCCAGUGAACCAUUUUAAACGGCCGCGGUACUCUAACCGUGCAAAGGUAGCGUAAUCACUUGCCCUCUAAAUAGGGGCUCGUAUGAAAGGCUAAAUGAGGGCCCAACUGUCUCCUGAGGCAAGCCAAUGAAACUGCUCUCUCAGUACAAAAGCUGAGAUAAACCCAUAAGACGAGAAGACCCUGUGGAACUUUAACUACCGCACUACCCCCCCCCGGUCAUAGUGACAUACUUUAAGUUGGGGCGACUACGGAGUAUAACAAAACCUCCACGAACCAGGACAAAAGUCCACCCAAGGCCCACAAGCCAACAUUACCAAAAACCAACUGACCCAGCAAUGCUGACCAACGAACCAAGCUACCCCAGGGAUAACAGCGCCAUCCCCUCCAAGAGUCCCUAUCGCCGAGGGGGUUUACGACCUCGAUGUUGGAUCAGGACACCCCAGCGGUGUAGCCGCUGCUAAAGGUUCGUUUGUUCAACGAUUAAUGUCCUACGUGAUCUGAGU